UACGUAGGUGGCGAGCGUUGUCCGGAUUUACUGGGCGUAAAGGGCGUGCAGGCGGUUUGUUAAGUGCAGGGUGAAAGCUCCCGGCUCAACUGGGAGAGGUCCUUGCAUACUGGCGAACUCGAGGGAGGCAGAGGAAAGUGGAAUUCCCGGUGUAGCGGUGAAAUGCGCAGAUAUCGGGAGGAACACCAGUGGCGAAGGCGGCUCACUGGCCCGAUACUGACGCUGAGGCACGAAAGCGUGGGGAGCAAACAGG
rnacentral:rRNA from 1 species